UACGUAGGGAGCAAGCGUUGUCCGGAAUCAUUGGGCGUAAAGCGCGCGUAGGCGGCUCGAUCAGUCUGUUGUGAAAGUCAAAGGCUCAACCUUUGAAUGCCGAUGGAUACUGUCGAGCUAGAGUCCGGAAGAGGCGGGUGGAAUUCCUGGUGUAGCGGUGGAAUGCGUAGAUAUCUGGAGGAACACCGGUGGCGAAGGCGGCAUCCUGGACCGACAUUGACGCUGAGGCGCGAAAGCCAGGGGAGCAAACGGG
rnacentral:rRNA from 1 species